rnacentral:rRNA from 1 species
UCCAGCCAUGCCGCGUGUGUGAAGAAGGCCUUAUGGUUGUAAAGCACUUUAAGCGAGGAGGAGGGUACUGGUAUUAAUACUACCAGGUACUGGACGUUACUCGCAGAAUAAGCACCGGCUAACUCUGUGCCAGCAGCCGCGGUAAUACAGAGGGUGCGAGCGUUAAUCGGAUUUACUGGGCGUAAAGCGUGCGUAGGCGGCUAAUUGAGUCGGAUGUGAAAUCCCCGAGCUUAACUUGGGAAUUGCAUUCGAUACUGGUUAGCUAGAGUGUGGGAGAGGAUGGUAGAAUUCCAGGUGUAGCGGUGAAAUGCGUAGAGAUCUGGAGGAAUACCGAUGGCGAAGGCAGCCAUCUGGCCUAACACUGACGCUGAGGUACGAAAGCAUGGGGAGCAAACAGGAUUAGAUACCCUGGUAGUCCAUGCCGUAAACGAUGUCUACUAGCCGUUGGUCUCUUUGAGGGAUUAGUGGCGCAGCUAACGCGAUAAGUAGACCGCCUGGGGAGUACGGUCGCAAGACUAAAACUCAAAUGAAUUGACGGGGGCCCGCACAAGCGGUGGAGCAUGUGGUUUAAUUCGAUGCAACGCGAAGAACCUUACCUGGUCUUGACAUAGUAAGAACUUUCCAGAGAUGGAUUGGUGCCUUCGGGAACUUACAUACAGGUGCUGCAUGGCUGUCGUCAGCUCGUGUCGUGAGAUGUUGGGUUAAGUCCCGCAACGAGCGCAACCCUUUUCCUUAUUUGCCAGCACUUUGGGUGGGAACUUUAAGGAUACUGCCAGUGACAAACUGGAGGAAGGCGGGGACGACGUCAAGUCAUCAUGGCCCUUAC